CGGACGUCGAUGGGUUUGUGGGCGCAGGGCGCGAGGCGCGAGGCGGUAGCUGGGCUAGUCCUGUUCCCUGGCGUCUGGGCCUUUCUGCUCUCCGCAAGGAGCUGGGUCGCGACCUGUCACUGCCAGCCGUGCGCUCGCCCUCUGCGCCCCGUCUCGUGGUCACUGCCGCCCUCCCUCCCGCCACACCUGUGAUGAUCGCUAUGGAGCCGCGCCUCAGGUGGCAUUACUAUAAACCUAAGAGGAGAGGCGCCCGUUCGAAUAAGGGCAAAUUAUUUAGUAUUUUCACUGGGCAGCACUGAGUCUUGACUAUAUUCCAGAACUUAC
rnacentral:lncRNA from 1 species